CAGGUCCAUGUCGUUUUAUAUUAAAAGUCUGGCAAGCCUAGUAAGUAUACUUUUUUUCUCAUACUUUUGUGUAGCUGCGAACACGUAGCUCUUUUGUAAGGUCCUUUCUAUGCUUUUGAUAUUUGCACCAUAACUGACCAUAACUAUAAGCAUAGAAAAAAUCAAAAAGCUACGUUUUCGCAACCGAUUUCUACGUAACAUUUAAAAAUACGAAAAUCUUGCAGUAAGUGCAAAUUGUCUGCCUGUUAAUUUUUUAAAUAGCGUUUUUCAAAGGAAUAGAGAGAGAGAAAAACAGCUGUGGACAAAUUUCUCAAUUUUUUUUUAUUGAAAUACAUCUUUUCUACCUCACACGUAGAGAGCUAAAAUAUAAUAUAAUACGGAACCAAAAUCGGAUUCCCUUCCGGAGUAAUUCGUUUCCGUUUUUUUUUU
rnacentral:lncRNA from 1 species